rnacentral:rRNA from 1 species
GACGAACGCUGGCGGCGUGCCUAAUACAUGCAAGUUGAGCGCUGAAGGUUGGUACUUGUACCGACUGGAUGAGCAGCGAACGGGUGAGUAACGCGUGGGGAAUCUGCCUUUGAGCGGGGGACAACAUUUGGAAACGAAUGCUAAUACCGCAUAAAAACUUUAAACACAAGUUUUAAGUUUGAAAGAUGCAAUUGCAUCACUCAAAGAUGAUCCCGCGUUGUAUUAGCUAGUUGGCGAGGUAAAGGCUCACCAAGGCGAUGAUACAUAGCCGACCUGAGAGGGUGAUCGGCCACAUUGGGACUGAGACACGGCCCAAACUCCUACGGGAGGCAGCAGUAGGGAAUCUUCGGCAAUGGACGAAAGUCUGACCGAGCAACGCCGCGUGAGUGAAGAAGGUCUUCGGAUCGUAAAACUCUGUUGGUAGAGAAGAACGUUGGUGAGAGUGGAAAGCUCAUCAAGUGACGGUAACUACCCAGAAAGGGACGGCUAACUACGU